GCUCAGAGCAGGAACACCACUUCUACCUGUGAAUGGCUGUGGGAGCUGCUCCAACCACAAACCUCUCCCAGCCUGUUCCUGCAGAAAACCAUGAAGCACCUCUGCUUCCCCAGACCAGGGAAUUACAGAAAAAACCUGAACGUCUCAGCUCCCAUAGCAAGAAUAAGCCCACAGUGAAUUUGUUAUUAUCUGUUAGCAAAGCAGCAGCUUCCCACCAAGGCUGGAAUUUCCAUCUUGGUUUGGCAGGCACAGGGCUGUGAAAUGAUUACUGUGUUUACUUUUCCUUUGCUAACUAUAAAAUCCCAUUCCACUGCCCUGCCAAGAAUGACUGAAGCUAAUAAAAUUCAGGCAUUUGGAAGAAAGCAAUAAUAAACCUCCCUUUUGGGGCCUUUAUGAUGAAAUUUCCCCACUCCAAUCAGCGAUUAUGCUGCAUUCAUGAACACUAGUGAUGUCUCCAAGUGCACCCAGAUUGACUCAAAUCAAUAUUUAGCUUUGCUCGAGACUGGGAGUCUUUCUCCUUGUGACAGCUGAAGGCAGAAUCACUGAACAAGGAAGAAACCUUUGAAAAAACAGCCUACAAGAAUAGGAGGCAGCAUAUAUAAAUAUAUAGCUAUGUAUGUAUAUAUAUAAAUAUAUAAAAAAUGUAGGCUUUUCAUUUACCUAAAAACCUAUAGAAAGCAUACACACAUGAAUUCACAGAUUUACAAAUCUCUCUCCAAAUAUAUUGAAAGCCUUUCAUAUAAUGCACUGUAUAUAUUUAUAUACACAUACCUGCCUAUUCUUUAGGAGUUUUUAGUGUUUGAAAGCCUUCAACGUUCCUGUGUUUACAUCUGCCACUCUGUCUGCUGCCGAGGCAGAAACACAUUAGCUGCUGGGGGCAAUCUGUUCUACAUCAUACCUGAGAUGGCUGGCAUGAGACAAAAUAACACAGACCUGAAAAUCAGCUUGAAAUAAAAGCCUGUGCUUGGUUUGGUCACGUAACCAUGUGGGACAGCUUGAUCUGCACAAGGCAAUGGUUCCUUUUUAAGCUGUCAUGGGAACAACAGCGUCCAAAGUGGAGAUCAGCAGGCAGAAAGGAUCACUGCUGCUCCUCAGGGAACAGCACAGGAGGAGAGAAAUCAGACCCUGUUAGGGCAGUGACCAGAGCAGGCUGCUCAAAGUCAAGCCUAGGAAGCAUUACUGUGCAGGCAGAGGAGGGGGUACAGUGCCAUGGCAGCAGAGAAAUCUGCUGUGGGCAUGUGCUGGAGCAGGAUGCCACGGGCUCUGCAGCCUGGGAGAAUCCCUCAGGAUGCAGCAGAGGACUGGGAAACACCAUAACCACUGCCCAUCUCCUCCUUGGCACUGCCAGAGAACUGUCCUCUUCCUCUCAGGAAAGGGUACCAGGUGCAGGAUUAAGGCCAGAUGAAGGCAAGCAGAACCUGGGCAGAACACUGGCACCUGCAGAAAAUGCUCUGUCAAAGCACUGAGAUGACCAAAGAGUAACUAGACAGAGGUCAGGACUGAAAGGAGGUGGUUCAGGUAAUUUCAUUCCACACUGCUUCUUCCCCACUAGUUCCUACUUUUGCUCCACCAAACCUGGGGUAGGACAGAGCACAUGAGCCAGCUCUGCCGCUGGGUAAAAGCCCAUUUCCAAGGACACAGGGAACAGGCUCCACUGUGCUCUCGCUCCUUAUCCUCCUGGAAAAAGGUGCCAAGAAUUAGAAUUACAUUUUUCGAGAGCAGCAGAACGAGCCAAGGGCCUGUCAGCUUGUCCUAAAACAACCCCUCUCUGCUCGCCGAGCACGCAGCCAGCAUUCCUGACACACACCAGCGUCCAUCGCCCCCCGGCCCCCCCAUGCAGCACGGGGCUGCGGAGCCAAAAAAACCUCAAUGUGCUCUGCCUAAAACACAGCCAAGGAGUUUUUCUGUUUAAAAAGCAAGUUUAGGUCCAAAAAGAAAGGAGGUUUUCAGCGAGUGAUUUUAACUAGGCCCUUUGGCACUCGACAGUUCCUCUCUUGUUAUGGAUGCUAAGGGUGUUGUUAGGAGAUGAAGCUCCACGAAGCACGAACGUGAAGUCACAGAGCUUUAGCAAGGGCUGUUGCCAUGUUCAAUAUGUUAUUACAGCUCCAUCACCACAGGCACAAAGAGCAGCACCUCAUCUCUGCCAAAUCCAUCUCUGAAAUCACUCCCCCACUCCAUCCCCUCCAGCAGCAGCAGGCAAACACCAUUGAUUGCUGUUGCAUCUCCUCCACAGCUUCCACCCCACGCUGGGAAGGAAGGCAGGACUGCUGAUGGGCUGCACUUCCCAGCCACGGAGAAGUACAGUGCCAAAAAUGUGCCCGGUGCUGUACGUCCACAGAGAAGUCACCCAAGUUUCUCCCAGGAAGACCCUUGGGUAGGAGGGGCAUGCAGGGAUGCUGAACAAGGAGGGAGGAGCAGUUCAUCUGUGAGAUGUAUGUGCUUGCAAAUUGGUAACAACCUCCUGCUGCUUGGUCACCUGCACUAACUGGAGAGAUCCCACACAACCCAUCCCGGAGAGUGCCUGGAUCUGAUGGGAGCUGGAGGAAUGCUCCUUGCCCAGCAGCACCCACACCCCUUCCCAGAACAUGAGGGAAAAGAAGAAAACAGAUCAGGAAGAGACUGCAAGGGGGGGAGGAAAAGCAGCUGGGAUGUCCUUCUUGUCACCAGGGCCAAACUCUUCCCUUGACUUUCAUUCCAGGAGAGGGGUUCUUUUUAACACAAAUGAACACAACCGGUUGAGCACGGGCAAAAAAUGGUGGCAAAAGUGGAGCCAUCCUCACCCUACACCAUCCUCAUCCUCUGGAGACCAGCAUCAGUUCCUGCCAUACCAAUACUAUUUCCCAAGUCCCACCUGAGGACUGACAAAGUAGCAAACUAGCUCCCCUCUCUCCUGCAUUUCCAGGACAAAACAGGGCACAUUAGAAUUCUUGCUAUCAGAUAAAAUAGAUACAUACAGCAUGUACAAACACUUCCUAGAUGGAGAAGAAAAGUCUCCAUGAAUGCACACACAGCACACCCAGCUCAGCACAUUGCCUACUGCAAGCACAGAGCCAGAAAUAUUUCUUCCAAUUACAGGGGUGAGUGAGGCACACAAAGUCAGGGGACUUUCCCUCCAGCAGAUCAGGUGAGAUGUUGCACUGCGCGAGCCUUGUAAUAUUGACUGAGUGGAACAGAAAAGUCCAAUUAUGUAAAUGAUGGAGCAGGUUCCCGAGAAGCAGUCAGCCUUAUCACACCAUCCUUCGCCACCACCGCUGUGGCUUGAAAGGCAAUUUAAAAGGUUUUUUGGGAUGUCGAUCACCACAAACGAGCUGAAGAAGUGUGAAACAACCUCUGCUUGAGGCACCAUCAGUUCUCCUGUUGGUUUUUCAGCUGCACUGAGCCUUUGCCCUGCUGUCUGUGGCUCGAGGACCACUGCAGGCUGGAGCAGACAGGCCAGGGGAGAGCCAGGCUGCAGGUAGCUCAGGGAAGGGUCAAAGGUUUUUACAUCCUGCCUCUGGAAUGCUUCUGCAGCCCAUGAGGGCUUUUCCUGCCAUACCUGAGUCUCUUAGAUCACAAUUCAGUUCUUUGGUCACAGGAGCUUCAGCUGAGAAAUGGAAUAAAACCAGCUGUCUUGCAA